CCCAGACUCCUACGGGAGGCAGCAGUGGGGGGUAUAGCACAAUGGGGGAAACCCUGAUGCAGCGACGCCGCGUGUGGGAAGACGGUCCUCUGGAUUGUAAACCACUGUCCCCAGGGACGAAAAUGACGGUACCUGAGUAAGAAGCCCCGGCUAACUACGUGCCAGCAGCCGCGGUAAUACGUAGGGGGCAAGCGUUAUCCGGAUUUACUGGGUGCAAAGGGAGCGUAGACGGCAGUGCAAGUCUGGAGUGAAAGGCGGGGGCUCAACCCCCGGACUGCUCUGGAAACUGUACGGCUGGAGUGCAGGAGAGGUAAGUGGAAUUCCUAGUGUAGCGGUGAAAUGCGUAGAUAUUAGGAGGAACACCAGUGGCGAAGGCGGCUUACUGGACUGUAACUGACGUUGAGGCUCGAAAGCGUGGGGAGCAAACAGGAUUAGAUACCCGGGUAUA
rnacentral:rRNA from 1 species